AGCGCAGGUGGUGGCGGGACAGCUGCGUCUGUGCGCUCUUCAGGGUGUCGUCACGUUUAAAGACAGAGCGGGAGACGAGAGGUGAUGACGGGCGGAGUCAGAUGGAUGAGCAGAUGUUCAAACAUUGUUUUGAGUUAUGUCACUGAGGGAUUCCCUACCAGUGCUUCUUGUUGAGAUUGAAAGAAAUAGCUGAGGGAGUCAUGUUGCAUUAUGGGAAAUGUAGUGGAGGUUUAAAAAAGUCUAACCCUCAAAGACGUGGAUAAAAAAUAAAACUCCCAUUUUUAAAAUGAAGUUGUGUUUUUUUUCCUCAGAGUCCUCUGCUGCGAGCCCAUUGGACGACAGCCUGAAGGACAUCACAGACGUGGCCCCCUGUCGGAAACGCCGCUUUCGUCACUUGGUAGCCCCCGACCCGGUGGUGAAAAGACCGAGCCCUCAGAGUUCAGAGAGAAAGAGGUCCGACCCCCCUGCAGGAUCCAGUAAGCAGACUCCUCAGCGCUCUCCAGCAGAAGUCGAGGAUCUGUUUGACGACUUCUAACCACUCAGGGAGAUUUGAAUGACUACAGGGCUCAUUUCUGUUGAUGAAGAGGGGUUGUAUAUUUUUAUACCAUAUUUAUGAUUAACAGGUGAUGGAUUGCACUGAAAGUAUGUAUGAGGAACUCUAUCUGUCUUGAGGUGCAGGUGGGUGAUCGUAUUAAAGGAACAAACGAGUCUUAUGGAGGUUUUUGUUCCACCAAGAGCUCCGAGAACAGAUUCAAAGACUCUCCAGACGAAGUCCACAAGAGGAGUAAAAGUUCUCCUUCCAGAUUGACCCUCUGAUUGGUUUUUAUUCAUCCUGUUUAUAACGGGUUCCCCUGAUAUUUUCAGAACCACCUUAGGAUCCCAAAAUGAUGUUUAACAGUAGAAAAAAAGAGAAUGUCUUUGAGGAUCAAAAGAACAACCUGACAGUAACGUCUCUUCAAGCUCCACUGAAAUGAUCAGAAAGGAAAGUCCAUCUGAAUGAUGUCCACACUACAGGAGUUUAAAAGUCUGUCAUCGACCCCUGAAGUAAACGCACAGCCUCUUAAAGCUCCACUUCAAAAAGGAUCCUAAAACAAAGGAACCUCUUAAAGGUCAUAGAACCGCCUCGACUUUACUCGAGAGUAAACCUAGAACCUCCUAAAAGUCCAUUUGAAGUAUUUAUAAAAUCUAAGUCAUGACAAGAACCGAUGAAGGAACGUCUAACAUCUAUUGAAGGAAUCCUAGACUUUUAAAGGACAACUCAUGCGAAGCAAAGUCGCCCGUACUGCGCUUAAAAACUAAUUUAGACUGCAGUACCCAUUUUAAACACUAGGGGUCACAGUUACUCACUGCUCCUUUAAGAUGUGUCGCCUGCCUGGAGUUCCUCAGAAUCAUAACGUAUUUAAAACUCUUUUUAAUAAACUUCAGGAACUGCUGAUGAAUUUGGUGUUUUAAAUUUGUAUCGUAAAUAUUUUUGCCAAUAAACAAUGUGAAUGUUU